AACGUAGGGGACAAGCGUUGUCCGGAUUUACUGGGCGUAAAGCGCCCGUAGGCGGCUUUUUAAGUUGGACGUGAAAGCUCCCGGCUUAACUGGGAGAGGCCGUUCAAAACUGAGAGGCUAGAGUGAGGCAGAGGAGCGCGGAAUUCCCGGUGUAGUGGUGGAAUGCGUAGAUAUCGGGAGGAACACCAGUGGCGAAAGCGGCGCUCUGGGCCUAAACUGACGCUGAGGGGCGAAAGCGUGGGGAGCGAACGGG
rnacentral:rRNA from 1 species